rnacentral:rRNA from 1 species
AACUCUAAGCGGUGGAUCACUCGGCUCAUGGGUCGAUGAAGAACGCAGCAAACUCUGCGUCAUCGUGUGAACUGCAAGAGACAUGUACUUUAAUUAAUUUUAUAGUGCUGCUUGGACUAUAUAUGGUUGAGGGUAG